GAGCAAUACCGCGUGAGGGAGGAAGGCCUUUGGGUUGUAAACCUCUUUUCUGGGGGAAGAAGCAAGUGACGGUACCCCAGGAAUCAGCAUCGGCUAACUCCGUGCCAGCAGCCGCGGUAAUACGGAGGAUGCAAGCGUUAUCCGGAAUUAUUGGGCGUAAAGCGUCCGCAGGUGGUCCAUCAAGUCUGCUGUCAAAGACCGGAGCUCAACUCCGGGCAGGCAGUGGAAACUGGUGAACUAGAGUACGGUAGGGGUAGAGGGAAUUCCCAGUGUAGCGGUGAAAUGCGUAGAGAUUGGGAAGAACACCAGUGGCGAAGGCGCUCUACUGGGCCGUAACUGACGCUCAGGACGAAAGCUAGGGGAGCGAAAGGGAUUAGAUACCCCUGUAGUCCUAGCUGUAAACGAUGGAUACUAGGCGUUGCUUGUAUCGACCCGAGCAGUGCCGUAGCUAACGCGUUAAGUAUCCCGCCUGGGGAGUACGCACGCAAGUGUGAAACUCAAAGGAAUUGACGGGGGCCCGCACAAGCGGUGGAGUAUGUGGUUUAAUUCGAUGCAACGCGAAGAACCUUACCAGGGCUUGACAUGUCCGGAAUCUCGGGGAAACUCGAGAGUGCCUUCGGGAGCCGGAACACAGGUGGUGCAUGGCUGUCGUCAGCUCGUGUCGUGAGAUGUUGGGUUAAGUCCCGCAACGAGCGCAACCCUCGUCCUUAGUUGCCAGCCUUAAGUGGGGCACUCUAGGGAGACUGCCGGUGACAAACCGGAGGAAGGUGGGGAUGACGUCAAGUCAGCAUGCCCCUUACGUCCUGGGCGACACACGUACUACAAUGGUCGGGACAAAGGGCAGCGAACUCGCGAGAGUAAGCGAAUCUCAGCAAACCCGGCCUCAGUUCAGAUUGCAGGCUGCAACUCGCCUGCAUGAAGGAGGAAUCGCUAGUAAUCGCAGGUCAGCAUACUGCGGUGAAUUCGUUCCCGGGCCUUGUACACACCGCCCGUCACACCAUGGAAGCUGGCCACGCCCGAAGUCGUUACCCUAACCCUUAGGGGAGGGGGACGCCGAAGGCAGGGCUAGUGACUGGGGUGAAGUCGUAACAAGGUAGCCGUACCGGAAGGUG
rnacentral:rRNA from 1 species